AAGGUUUUAUGUUUUAGAUAACAGAAGCAUGGGAUCAUAUUAAAUCCACACAAUGAGCAUUAAGUGAUCAAACUGACUCCUGACUGAAAAGCAGCAUUGUCCAUCACAGUACGAGUUAUAGCAAGGCGAGAAUGUGCAGUCCAAACUUAACUUUAAUGAUUCCUUUGAAAACAGCAGAUUAACAAACCACUAAGUGCAUUUUACUGUACAAAAAAUGAUUUCUUAAAAGUACAGAUAUGCAGACUGACGGUUAAUUAGCUAUACAUUUAAUUACAGUUAAUAAUGCCUGCUACCUUUAUCUUUGGACGCUAAUGUGACAGCCCAUACUAAACAGUAAGGUUAACCUGCACUUUUUUUUUUUUUAUAAAGGUCUCUGACUCCAGUCAGAACAGGAACUUCGAAUAGCAUCUGUGGACUGGUUUCUAAGGCAAAGGUAUUGCUCCUUCUGACAUUAUGUUUCUGUGAUGAGCACUGAUAAGCUUACCAUGCAGAAAGGCAUUCAAGUACAUAAACACCACACUGUUAUAUACAUUUGAACACUAUGUAAAACACAGCUAUCUAAUAAAGCGAGAUGUAUCUGUAUGUAUGUAUGUAUGUAUGUCCAUGUAUGUGUGUAUGUA